AGAGUUUGAUCCUGGCUCAGGACGAACGCUGGCGGUGUGCUUCACACAUGCGAGUCGAGCGAAUGAAGUAGGUAGCUUGCUACUUAUGGAUUUAGCGGCGGACGGGUGAGUAAUAUAUAGGAAUCUGCCUUAGAGCGGGGAACAACAGACCGAAAGGUUUGCUAAUGCCCCAUAGGUAUGCAGUCUUCGGAUUGUAUAUUAAAGGAGUAAUCCACUCUAAGAUGAGCCUGUAUCCGAUUAGCUAGUUGGCGGGGUAAAGGCCCACCAAGGCUACGAUCGGUAGUUGGUCUGAGAGGAUGAUCAGCCACAAUGGGACUGAGACACGGCCCAUACUCCUACGGGAGGCAGCAGUGGGGAAUUUUACACAAUGGGGGAAACCCUGAUGUAGCGACACCGCGUGAACGAAGAAGCCUUUCGGGGUGUAAAGUUCUGUCGGCUGGAACGAAAAAAAUGACGGUACCAGCAAAGGAAGCAUCGGCUAACUACGUGCCAGCAGCCGCGGUAAGACGUAGGAUGCAAGCGUUGUCCGGAUUUAUUGGGCGUAAAGAGUUCGUAGGCGGUUAUUUAAGUCUGAUGUUAAAUACUGUGGCCCAACCACAGAACUGCAUUGGAUACUGGAUGACUUGAGUGCGGUAGAGGCAAGUGGAAUUCCCAGUGUAGCGGUGAAAUGCGUAGA
rnacentral:rRNA from 1 species